GCGCCAGUAGCUCAAUAGGUAGAGCAGUGGCCUCUUAAGCCAUUGGUUGGGGGUUCGAUUCCUCCCUGGCGUACAA
rnacentral:tRNA from 1 species